GGGGCAUUAGCUCAGUUUGGCUAGAGCGCUUGCAUGGCAUGCACGAGGUCGUGGGUUCAACUCCCACAUGCUCCA
rnacentral:tRNA from 1 species